UACAGAGGUGGCAAGCGUUGUUCGGAAUUGCUGGGCGUAAAGGGCGCGUAGGCGGUUCGUUAAGUCCUGUGUGAAAUCCCCCGGCUCAACUGGGGAACUGCACAGGAAACUAGCGGGCUUGAGUUCGGGAGAGGGAAGCGGAAUUCCGGGUGUAGCGGUGAAAUGCGUAGAUAUCCGGAGGAACACCGGUGGCGAAGGCGGCUUCCUGGACCGACACUGACGCUGAGGCGCGAAAGCUAGGGGAGCAAACGGG
rnacentral:rRNA from 1 species